UGGGGGGGGGGGGUCAAAAUUAAGAAAAUUGCAAAUUUUUUGUGGGGGAAAAAAAACGUUUAAAGUCAUAUUUUCCCUGAAUGAAACAUACGAAUACUAAAGAAAUAUUUUUUUUUAAAACCCACUCCCCAAUUUUUUGCUUUGCAUUGUUAGUGACAGUUAUUCCAAAACUUCACCAAAUAUUUUAAAGAGGAACCAAACUGUACUAUUAUUGAAGAACGCACAAACAAUUGACCUGCUUGAAAAAACAAAAUCCCGUUAUUGAAGAACUGCGUUCAUCUUGUACCAUUGACAACGAUAUAAACACGGUGAUGGUGCUGUUAGACUAAAAGCUCAUAUUCGAACGUGAAAAACGUAUGGUCACGUUGUUUUAUAUGUAAUAAGAUAAAGAAGCAUUACCUUGGUACGGCGUAAAGUAGUUACGAGUGACAGGUAAUCAUAUACGGAGAUGGAUAGAUAGACAGGCUAGUUUAAUUUCGGCAUUUUACUAUUAAUCGUUUUCAUGGCUAUUAUUGCAUCCUUCCUCCAUUACGAAGUAUGUACGAUAUUUCGUUUUAUUAUUCAGAACGUAAAGAUCAGUAUAAUAAAAAGAAAAGUAAAAUAUUUGGUAGUACUCGACUGAACUCGGCGAUGAAAUAAAAUUGGGAGAAUGUUUUAUCUUUGGAACUGAAAAGUUUAUUUUGGAAUUGUUCAUGUAUAGAAUAUAUGACUAACUUCUUAAAACAAUAAGCACCCGUGAGAAUUGGGACAUCAUUAACAAAAUAUGGAAGAACAAUUAACUUUCUUGCGUCGUUGGGAUUAAUUCGUAAUUCAGCAAUGUGCUGUUUGGGAUGCUGCGUUUGGUGAAUAGUAACACAUUCAGAUGAGGGAGAAAAAAAUCCAUCGGAUGUUGUCUAUACAAGGGGUUAUCAAAGCAAGCAAGCAAGAAGCAAAACAAGCAAGCGCAUGGAACAACUCCGGACGUGUUGCGAUCGUAUUGUAACCUCAUCAGCGAAGCAUAGCACUUGUCAUAUUUGAAAGAAGAAUUAACAGGAACUCGCUUCGCCCUGCCUGUGAUUUGAAACCAAAUAUACCCGCCUGCUGCUUGUCAAAAGAAGCGGGAAAUCCUCUCCGCACCAGAUGAUUGAUGAGGGAGCACUUGAUCACCAAGCACCUGUGCUGGUCAAGGAAAGGUCAGUCCUUUGUUUAGGGUUUGACCUACAUCACACAGAACAUUUCCCUUCUCUACCUCUUUUGUGUCAGUCAGACCAACGAGCAACAAGCUGUUUUUUGCGUCAGCCAUGACCAAGAGCAACACUUUCCUUUCGGCCACAAGAAAGACGAUACCACCUUCAUCCUUUUUAGUUGGGCAUCGUGUAUUCUUUACUCUUUUAGUCUCUACUGACAGCAACUUGUACACUAUCAACUACUAACCAGUGAGCCAUCCUUGUCACUAGAAUUGCUGCUGUAUCUCUAACUACAUGUCGGGCAAACGAAUAAAUAUAUGUAAGUAAUAUUUCUUCCUUCUUGAUGUUGAUUCUUCGAUGUUCACUGGUUAGUCCGACGCGAGAACCUUUAAGCGUUACAUCUACACGCUACAUUCGGUACUGGGCUUCAUCAUAUCAAUUGAUAUGGCACAUCACUUUAGCCCGCUACUAUUGGUGACCCCGACGUAAUAAAAAAUAACAGCCUUCACAUCAUGCUCGUCACAUCGAAGACAAGAAUAACAACUUCUACUGUACACAGUUUCCGUUUCGACUAUCACAGGAAAAGAACUCGCCGACACAAUGGACACUCACCAUGCACUUUCAACUUGCCACAGAAUGCACACAGAAUGUUGCAGAGCUACGAAAGAAACAUCUACAAUAAAAAAACGCAAAAUCUCGACAGUCAUUCGACCAAAAUCCAUCUGGAUGAAAAUAUAGAAGCCCGCACAUGAAACGUUCUCCACAGACUUCUCAAACGCAGCCCUGCAUGUCACGUGAACUUUUGUAUAUAGACUUGAACUUUCUUUGCAUACACAUAUUUUUGCAUUUCAAAUGCUACUUUUUAGUCUUUCAAGACCAGGACAUUUUCUAGCCAAGUUUGUCAUUUUCAUUCUGAUUUGUUUGCACUGCACACCUUCAUUUGUUUACACGUAACACUUAAUUCGGCGACGACUCGUUUUACUAAAACAAGUAAAUGUUUUUGAAUGUUCUAUAUUCUUAUAAAAAAAAUUUUCUCGUUGGCCACUGGCAUUGCACAUUUCUUGCACACGCAUUGUUCACCUAUUUUUAUAACAUGGUUUCUGCUAAAUGUUUUCUUUUGAAUAUCUGCAAUUUCUUUCUGAGCACGCUGACCCAUUUAUACACUGCUCUUUAUUUUGUUUGUAAAACAAAACAAAAUUUUUUUCUCAACGUUCAUACCCAAACCUGCAAGCCUGCACCCACUUACACACAUACACCAAAACCUGCACCCUUGUCAGACGUGAAGAUACGGCAACGAGGCUGCUGGACAUUUUAACCCUUAACCCAACCCCACCAACGCACAAAUACGCCAUAUUGAAAACCAGGCUAGUGGAUACUUUCAGACGUAGUGAACGAGAAGCGGCAGCCAAGAUACUGGAGGAGGAAAUAGGCGAUUCUAAGCCUUCGGAACUGAUGGACAAGAUGUUGGCAUGAGUUCCCCCCGGUGACUCACGUUCCUUUUUGUUUAGGGAAAUAUUCCUCCGCAAGCUGUCACCCCAGGUCCAGGCCCUCAUAACUCAGACCAAAAUCAAGGACCUGCGGCAAUUAGCGAAGGCAGCUGGCGUACAUUUUUUAUCCAGUCAACGUCAUAGGGUCGGCCCCGAGAAGGGGUAGAAUUAAGCAAGAUGACCUGUGCUUCUACCGAGAAAAGUUCGGGAAAAAGGCGACAAAGUGCAAACAACCAUGUAGCUUCGGGGUCCAGUGACCCAAGGAAACUACAGGGUCGGCCGCCAUGAUCAAAUGCUCCUCUAUGUCUACGAUCGGAGCUCCGGACGCAGGUUCCUAAUCGACACAGGAGCAUAAGUCAGCGUGGUCCUGGCGUCGGCAAGGGACCUCCGUCAUGGAAAGCGGAGCCAACUUUUAACAGCCGCCAACGGAUCCACAAUCAAGGCGUACGGCCGCCGCACCCUUUCUCUCAACAUCGGCUCACAAAAAUACACAUUGGCAUUCACCAUCGCCGAUGUCCGUCAGCCAAUAAUCGGGGCAGACUUUCUUUGAGCAUACUUGCUAAUGCUUGAUUUGCGGAGAAGACGACUCAUCGAUAAUAACACAUACGCUU
rnacentral:lncRNA from 1 species